rnacentral:rRNA from 1 species
UGGGGAAUUUUGGACAAUGGGCGCAAGCCUGAUCCAGCCAUGCCGCGUGCGGGAAGAAGGCCUUCGGGUUGUAAACCGCUUUUGUCAGGGAAGAAAUCUUCUGAGUUAAUACCUCGGGAGGAUGACGGUACCUGAAGAAUAAGCACCGGCUAACUACGUGCCAGCAGCCGCGGUAAUACGUAGGGUGCAAGCGUUAAUCGGAAUUACUGGGCGUAAAGCGUGCGCAGGCGGUUUUGUAAGACAGAGGUGAAAUCCCCGGGCUCAACCUGGGAACUGCCUUUGUGACUGCAAGGCUUGAGUGCGGCAGAGGGGGGAUGGAAUUCCGCGUGUAGCAGUGAAAUGCGUAGAUAUGCGGAGGAACACCGUGGCGAAGGCAAUCCCCUGGGCCUGCACUGACGGCUCAUGCACGAAACGUGGGGAGCAAACAGGAUUAGA